CCUACGGGUGGCAGCAGUGGGGAAUAUUGGACAAUGGGGGGAACCCUGAUCCAGCGACGCCGCGUGAGUGAAGAAGUAUUUCGGUAUGUAAAGCUCUAUCAGCAGGGAAGAAAGCAAUGACGGUACCUGACUAAGAAGCCCCGGCUAACUACGUGCCAGCAGCCGCGGUAAUACGUAGGGGGCAAGCGUUAUCCGGAUUUACUGGGUGUAAAGGGAGCGUAGACGGCGAUGCAAGUCUGAAGUGAAAGGCGGGGGCCCAACCCCCGGACUGCUUUGGAAACUGUAUGGCUGGAGUGCAGGAGAGGUAAGUGGAAUUCCUAGUGUAGCGGUGAAAUGCGUAGAUAUUAGGAGGAACACCGAUUGCGAAGGCAGCAUACCGGCGCCCAACUGACGCUGAAGCACGAAAGCGUGGGUAUCGAACAGGAUUAGAUACCCCGGUAGUC
rnacentral:rRNA from 1 species